AGUUUUACUUUUUGAAUGGAAUUAGUGAAAUAAAUAAAUAAAACUUUUUGAUGAUAUUCUAAUUAUAUGACCAGCACCUGUAAGUCAGUGGCUGGCAUAAUAAGAUGUAAUGCAUAUCAAUAGCAAAUAAGAUGGACACAAAAGUUCUGAGACUUUAUGAGAUUAACAUUACAGAAGGAGGUUGUGUAUACUGUAACAUUGGUCAGUUUUGUAAGAAAUACAUGCUUAAGCACAGUUCCUAUUUGAAACCAAAUUUCAGGUGUUUGAGCAAAAGUCUAUUAAUCAAAAGGAUUUUUUUAAGAUCAUGAGAAAGUCUGAGAAUGGUGUGUCAUUUCAGAGGUCUGUUGUUCAGAUGGAUGAACAACGAGAGCAGAAAAUUACUCAGCUGUUGAACUCUGUCCAGAGAGAUGCAGGCAGAGAUGCGCACCCCUCUACAUCUCAGAGCUGGAGGGUGAAGGAGGAGCCCAGUGGCCACAGUUACUUUGAUGGUGAUGAUCCUCCAGAACCUCAGAACAUUGUAAAAGUGCCAAAAAUUUAGCCUAAAGAGGAGAAAUGGGAGAAUGAGGAUGAGUUGGGAGCAAGUGUGAAAGAGGAACUUAAUGAAACUGACCUGGAGUUCUUAUUCCAAGAUGUUGGGCGGAUACCCUCUCUGGAUGAGGAGCUCAAGAAAGAUCAGAAGAAGAAAACCGAUAAUGCUAGAUACCUUGAUAUGCUGAAAUUCAGAGAGAAGCUGCCUUCCUAUGGGAUGAGAGAGGAGCUGGUUUCUGGUAAUCAGUGGAGAGACUGGCUGUGGGAAGACCACCCCGGCUACUCAAUUCAUCCUUGAUGACUUCAUUGAGAGGGGCAUGGGCUCUCUCUGCAGGGUGGUUUGCACACAGCCAAUGCAUAUCCACAUGCUGUCUGUUAAUAAAGUAAUAUUGUUGCAGAGAGGGUGGCUGCAUAACAGGCAGAGUCUGUGGAAGAGGGGAAGUCCUGUGGAUAUCAGAUCCGUCUGCAGAGGCUCAGUGUUGUAUUGUACUACAGGCAUUAUUCUUCAGUGGCUCCGCUCAGAUCCAUAUCUUUCAAGCAUAAGGUCCUGGAUGAAAUUCAUGAGAGGAGUCAUCAGUCUGAUGUUCUUCUCACCAUCGUGAAGGACCUGUUAACUGCUUGAGAGGACCAAAUAGUAAUCCUCAUUAGUGCCACGCUUAACGCUGAGAAAUUCAGCAAAUAUUUCAAUAAUUGUUCCAUGAUCCAUAUUCCUGGAUACACAUACCCAGUGAAAGAGUACUUACUGGAGGAUGUUGUGGAAUUGCUUGGUUGUUAGGUUCAAGCCACAACAUCAGGACCGCAGACCUCGCUAUAGGAGAGGAUUUAUGUACGGCCAGAGAAAGAACAGAGUGAGGCUGAAUACCGCAAGAGCUGGCCCUGCUUCACUCGCAUGCUCAGAGACCGGUACUCAGACAGCACCAUUGAUGCGCUGGAGAUGAUGGAUGAUGAUGACAAGAUCAAUCUGGAGCUUAUCGUAGCAUUGAUCAGACACAUCGUGAUGAAAGAGGAUAACCGUUUAUCAUCAACCCCCUCCACUCUUCGAUGCACAGUGUCUCAGACUCAGGUGUUCAAAAAGCCGCCCCCUGGAGUGCGCAAGAUCAUGAUCGCUAACAACAUCUCAGAAACCAGAUGGGCUUGAGUGUGUGUGCGCUCAUUAUCACAAUAGAUGAUGUCGUGUAUGUGAUAAAUGGAGGGAAGAUUAAAGAAACUCAUUUUGACACCCAGAAUAAUAUCAGGACCAUGACAGCAGAGUGUGUGAGCUUAGCCAACACCAAACAGAGGAAAGGCCGUGCUGGCAGAGUGUCUCCUGGGAAAUGCUAUCACCUGUAUAAUGGACUGAGGGCAAGCCUCCUGGAUAGCUACCAGUUACCUGAGAUCCAACGCACCCCACUGGAAGAGCGUUGCUUGCAAAUAAAGAUACUGAAGUUGGGACCCAUUGAAUCUUUCCAGCAAAAAACCAUGGACCCCCGUCAGACAAAGUGAUAGAGCUGGCCAUCACACACCUGGUGGACCUUGUGAGAGGAUAAAGUGAUGAAAGGGAAGAAUAAAUGAUAUAAUUGAAAAAGAGUCUGCAAUUACCGUAAAAUACAUUGGGUAGUCAGAAACCCAGUGUGAAGCAGCUACAUGGCUACUUAACAAAUAAAUUAAAUGGACAUGAAAGAUUACUUUGAGCGUUGCAAACUAGGUAAGGCAUAAUCUAAUGUAAUUAUCACGAAAUCAACCCUGACGUGAAGGUUCCUGGAAACCACUUAUUACCAGUCUACUAAUUAGGGGCAGUCGUGGCCUAAUCGAUAGAGAGUUGGACUUGUAACCCGAAGGUCGUUGGUUAGAGUUUCAGGUCUAGGAGGGAUUGUAGGUGGGGGAAGUGAAUGUACAGUGCUCUCUCCACCCUUAAUACCAUGACUGAGGUGAGACUCUUGAGCUAGGCACCGAACCCACAACUGCUCCCUGGGCGCAGCAGCAUUGGCUGCCCACUGGUUUGAGGGUGUGUGUGUGUGUACUUGGAUGGGUUAAAUGCAGAGCACAAAUUCCAAAUAUGGGAAGCCACACGACAUGUCCUUUCCGUUCCUUUCCUUUUAAUUAAAGGGAUAGUUCAUCCAAAAAUGAAAAUUUGAUGUUUGUCUGCUUACCCAGAGGGCAUCCAAGAUGUAGGUGACUUUAUUUCUUCAGUAGAACACAAACAAAGAUUUUUACCUCAA